rnacentral:rRNA from 1 species
AUUGAACGCUGGCGGCAGGCCUAACACAUGCAAGUCGAGCGGAUGAAGGGAGCUUGCUCCUGGAUUCAGCGGCGGACGGGUGAGUAAUGCCUAGGAAUCUGCCUGGUAGUGGGGGAUAACGUCCGGAAACGGGCGCUAAUACCGCAUACGUCCUGAGGGAGGAAGUGGGGGAUCUUCGGACCUCACGCUAUCAGAUGAGCCUAGGUCGGAUUAGCUAGUUGGUGGGGUAAAGACCUACCAAGGCGACGAUCCGUAACUGGUCUGAGAGGAUGAUCAGUCACACUGGAACUGAGACACGGUCCAGACUCCUACGGGAGGCAGCAGUGGGGAAUAUUGGACAAUGGGCGAAAGCCUGAUCCAGCCAUGCCGCGUGUGUGAAGAAGGUCUUCGGAUUGUAAAGCACUUUAAGUUGGGAGGAAGGGCAGUAAGUUAAUACCUUGCUGUUUUGACGUUACCAACAGAAUAAGCACCGGCUAACUUCGUG